UUCGGCCACAUCACUUUGAAACAACGGUCCCCGCACGAACUCCGAAGUUAAGCAACGUCGAGUCAGGUCAGUAUCUUGAUGGGUGACUGCUUGGGAAUCCCAGUGGCUGCAAG